rnacentral:rRNA from 1 species
UAGGUAGGGGUCCUGAGAGGGAGAUCCCCCACACUGGUACUGAGACACGGACCAGACUCCUACGGGAGGCAGCAGUGAGGAAUAUUCCACAAUGGGCGAGAGCCUCAUCCAGCCAUGCCGCGUGCAGGAAGACUGCCCUAUGGGUUGUAAACUGCUUUUAUACAGGAAGAAACACUCGUACGUGUACGAGCUUGACGGUACUGUAAGAAUAA